CAAUAGCGUAUAUUAAAGUUGUUGCAGUUAAAAGCUCGUAGUUGGAUUUCUGGGAGGGUGCUAAUGUCCGCCGUAGCGCGUGUGCAGCCGCGCCCUUCCAUCCUUCUGUUAACGCCUCUUGGCAUUCAUUUGCUGGUGGCGGGCUCAGAUAUUUUACCUUGAGAAAAUUAGAGUGUUUAAAGCAGGCUUAUGCCGUUGAAUAUAUUAGCAUGGAAUAAUAAGAUAGGACUUUGAGUCUAUUUUGUUGGUUUGCGAGUCAAAGUAAUGAUUAAUAGGGACAGUUGGGGGUAUUCGUAUUUCAUUGUCAGAGGUGAAAUUCUUGGAUUUCUGAAAGACGAACUACUGCGAAAGCAUUUACCAAGGAUGUUUUCAUUAAUCAAGAACGAAAGUUAGGGGAUCGAAGACGAUCAGAUACCAU
rnacentral:rRNA from 1 species